ensembl:misc_RNA Y_RNA Y RNA
GACUGGUCUGAAGGCAGUGAGUCAACUGAAUUGAUUAUUCACAGUCAGUUACGCAUCCAAGUCUUUAUUCUACUCUUCCCCCCUUCUCACUACUGCAUUUGACACUUGU